UACGGAGGGGGCAAGCGUUAUCCGGAUUCACUGGGUUUAAAGGGUGCGUAGGUGGGUCUGUAAGUCCGGGGUGAAAUCUCCGAGCUUAACUUGGAAACUGCCAUGGAUACUAUAGGUCUUGAAUACUGUGGAGGUCAGCGGAAUAUGUCAUGUAGCGGUGAAAUGCUUAGAUAUGACAUAGAACACCAAUUGCGAAGGCAGCUGGCUACACAAAUAUUGACACUGAGGCACGAAAGCGUGGGGAUCAAACAGG
rnacentral:rRNA from 1 species